rnacentral:rRNA from 1 species
AGUGAACGCUGGCGGUAGGCCUAACACAUGCAAGUCGAACGGCAGCACAGUAAGAGCUUGCUCUUACGGGUGGCGAGUGGCGGACGGGUGAGGAAUACAUCGGAAUCUACUUUUUCGUGGGGGAUAACGUAGGGAAACUUACGCUAAUACCGCAUACGACCUACGGGUGAAAGCAGGGGAUCUUCGGACCUUGCGCGAUUGAAUGAGCCGAUGUCGGAUUAGCUAGUUGGCGGGGUAAAGGCCCACCAAGGCGACGAUCCGUAGCUGGUCUGAGAGGAUGAUCAGCCACUCUGGAACGGGGACCCGGUCCGGCCUCCUACGGGAGGCAGCAGUGGGGAAUAUUGGACAAUGGGCGCAGGCCUGCUCCAGCCCUACCGCGUGGGUGAAGAAGGCUUUCGGGUUGUAAAGCCCUUUUGUUGGGAAAGAAAAGCAGCAGGUUAAUACCCCGCUGUUCUGACGGUACCCAAAGAAUAAGCACCGGCUAACUUCGUG